UACGUAGGGGGCAAGCGUUAUCCGGAUUUACUGGGUGUAAAGGGAGCGUAGGCGGGUUAUCAAGUCAGCGGUAAAAUCGUGGAGCUCCACUCCAUCCAGCCGUUGAAACUGAUGAUCUUGAGUGGGCGAGAAGUAUGCGGAAUGCGUGGUGUAGCGGUGAAAUGCAUAGAUAUCACGCAGAACUCCGAUUGCGAAGGCAGCAUACCGGCGCCCGACUGACGCUGAAGCACGAAAGCGUGGGUAUCGAACAGG
rnacentral:rRNA from 1 species